AUGAUGAUGUUAUUAUAUCAGAAUAUGUUAGAACCUAUCGGACUGCACGACCUAGAGCUUCACGUGUUUCACGCGUCUGUGUUUUGCUUGCCAACCAUUCUGCUAAACAUUGCUGAAGAACUCAAUUGCUUGGCGGUAGAAUUAAAAUUUGUUAUCAAUAAAUUACCAUAUUUGUUUAUUUUAUUUACAUUUUAAUCAGCCUUUUAGAAAGAAACUGCACACAUUUUCUAAGAAUUAUGCCUGAUAUUGAUGUGUUAAUAUCCAUUCGGCAGAGAUCUUCAUUAAUUUUAUAUUACAAGAGGAGCAAUUAACCAGUUUAGACACUAUAUACUGUGCUUUAGCACAGUUCAGAUCAAUAAGUGGUGCCUUUCCAACUUUAAAUAUUUGCAUAUUUCUAACUUUCUUCUCCCUCUGCAGAGAAGAAAGACUUCUACUGAUAAGAUGCAAGCGCCUGCGAGGCACUAUCAACAAUUGGUCAAUAAAGAAACGCCGCUGAUCUUUUACAUUAUAAGAAGCAUGCUAACAUUUCAAACAUGCAAGUAUUUCACCUCAGGAUAUGCAGCUUAUGAGUUUGUGAUAUGCUGUUGUUCCAAUUAUUCUGACUGAUGCAAUCGAUUCAGACAUUUAAAGCAAUCUACAACCAUUUAUCAAAUGUCAAUUCCUAAAGAGUGGCACACGCACAAAUACAGCAAUGCGAGAGCUGAACGUAGCGGGAAUUACGGUUUAAGUGACGUGGUAAUUUGCUUCGGUUUAAUCAGAGGUGGCAUAUUGAACACUAUCCAAUCAGAGAGUGAUCUUUACAUCACUUAAGCUCCUAAUGAGCUGUACGCACAUUAUGAAUGCUCAUACUCAAAUAACAAGGCUCAAGGUCAUAUUCUCACACAGCAUAUAAGGUCAAGCUCAUUAUUUGUCCAUUGACUGCAAACAGUAUAGAAAACACAAGUGACAUUUUUAUAUAAUUCAUUAUUGGCUGUUUGUCAAAAAAACAAAACAACAACCUGUUAACAGGUGCUAGUGAUAUACAACUGCAUAUUAGCAAAGACAGGUCAGUAUUAACAUACUGUAGAACAGCUUAUCAAAUAUCAAAAAACGUCUCUAGGUUACGUAUGUAACCCUAGUUCCUCGAGGGAACGAGACGCUGCGUCGAACGCUUUGGGGAACGCGUCUAGCGUGAGCGACUCUGAAUAUCGUGUGAAAUCAGUCCAAUGGAAGAGCGUGACGUCACGGGCGGGGUGAUGUAAGCGACCAGGAAGCUAUAAAAGCACAUGCCGCGCAGCUGGCAUCAGCUUCGAGUACCAGCAAGCGCCGGCAGGGGUGCCGGGGGGUAUGGCUCCGAGACGCAGCGUCUCGUUCCCUCGAGGAACUAGGGUUACAUACGUAACCUAGAGACGUUCCUCUUCAGGAACUCGAGCUGCGUCGAACGCUUUGGGGAACGAGUACCAACGCUGCCAGACUCCCAAACCCCUGCCUAGUGUGUAUCCGAAGAGCACAGCUUAGGACGAGAGGACGGAUGCGCCUGGAGUGACCGGCAUGUCUAAGCCGUAAAAUUUUACAAAUGUAGAGGGCGUGGACCACCCCGCAGCGUUGCAGAUGUCCAGCAUGGAUACACCUGCCAAAAAGGCCUUGGAGGCCGCCAUACCCCGUGUGGAGUGAGCCUUGGCUCCCAACAGCGGGGGACGACCAGAGGACUCAUAGAUGGCGUUGAUAGCCUCGACUAUCCAACGACUACUAGACUGCUUAGAAGCAGGAGAACCCCUCUUGGGGGGACCAUAGCAUACAAGCAAUUGGUCUGUUUUUCUCCACAGGGCAGCUCUGUGGACGUAUGCGUCCAGUGCUCGAACUGGACACAUACAAUUUAGCUUCUCUUGGUCGGGCUCCCGAAAGGGAGGAGGACAGAAAGCCUGCAGCACUACAGGUUGUGGUGUGACAGAGGGGACCUUAGGAACAUAUCCCGCUCGAGGGUAUAUGAAUGCUUUGGUCAUGCCAGGUGCAAAGUCCAGAUAUGUAGGGGCCACUGAGAGGGCCUGCAAAUCUCCUACUCUCCUCAGAGAGGUAAUGGCCAACAGAAAGGCGGUUUUGAGUGUCAGAUGUCUGUCUGAAAUAUCUUGAAUAGGCUCAAAAGGAGGUCUGCACAAGGCCUCUAGCACCACAACCAAGUCCCACGGGGGAAUACGGGACCGUACUGGAGGUCUCAGCCUCAGCGCACCGCGGAGGAAACGUGUAACUAAUGGGUGUCUUCCCAAAGACUGACCAUCGAGAAGGGCGUGGUAGGCCGCAAUGGCCGCCACGUAGACCUUCAACGUGGAGUGGGUCAACCCUGCAGAGAACCUGGCCUGUAGGAACUCCAGAACUGUACCAACUGGGCAGUCUAGCUGGCGGUCUCUGCACCAUGAGGUGAAGAGUUUCCACCUCAGGGCGUACAGUCUCCUCGUUGAGGGAGCUUUGGAUUGGAGGAGGGUCUCAACAACCUCGGUUGAGAGACCGGAUGCUAUGAACUGCGCCCCCUCAGGGGCCACACCCACAGCUUCCACAGCUCCGGGCGAGGGUGAAUUAUCGUGCCCUGCGCCUGUGAGAGUAGGUCCGCCCUGAUCGGUAUCUCCCAAGGAGAGCUGUCGAGGAGCGAGACCAGAUCUGCGAACCAUACUCGGCCCGGCCAGAACGGGGCUACUAACAAUAGACGGACCCCGUCCCGGCGUACUCUCGCCAGAACUCCCGGGAGCAGAGCAAUAGGGGGAAAUGCGUACAGACGAAGCCUCGGCCAGGUCUGUACCAUAGCGUCCAGUCCCAGGGGAGCUGGAUGAACUAGAGAGAACCAAAGGGGACAUUGUGCUGUCUCCUGAGUUGUAAAGAGGUCUACUUGAGCUCUUCCAAAAAUUCUCCAUAUCUGCUCCACCACCUCGGGGUGAAGCUUCCAUUCCCCGGGCCUCGUCCCCUGCCUCGACAGUAUGUCUGCUCCCACAUUCAGUUUCCCAGGAAUAUAUACUGCUCUGAGUGAGAGGAGUUUGCCCUGGGACCACACAAGGAUCUGGUGCGCCAGCUUGUACAAGGGGCGCGAACGCAGACCUCCCUGGUGGUUGAUGUAAGAGACCACCGAUGUGUUGUCGGUGCGCACCAACACAUGGUGAUCCCUUAGGUCUGGGAGGAAGUGCUUCAGUGCACGAUAAACUGCUAGCAUUUCUAGACAAUUGAUAUGCCAUGUCAGAUGGCGACCGCUCCACAGACCGCGGGCAGGGUGGCCACUCAUGACCGCACCCCAACCAGUGAGGGAAGCAUCCGUCGCUAGUGUUACACGGCGACCAGGAGCUCCCAGCACUGGGCCUUGAUUCAAGAACCAAGGUUUCUUCCACAUGUCUAAGGCACGGAGGCAGCGCCGCGUGACCUUGAUAGUUCGAAGUGGAUUGCCCCUCGGGGAAAAUCCCUUGGUCUUGAGCCACCACUGUAGGGGUCUCAUGUACAGCAGGCCAAAAGGUAUCACGUUGGACGCAGCUGCCAUCAGACCCAACAAUCUCUGAAAUUGUUUGACAGUGAGUGACUGGCCUUCUUUGACUCUCUCGACUGAGAUGAGGAUCGACUCGAUACAAGCAGGGGACAAUCGUGCCUGCAUCGCGGUCGAAUCCCAUACUACGCCUAGAUAGGUGGUUCUCUGAACUGGAGAAAGUACACUCUUCUUGGCGUUCAGUCUCAAACCCAGCUCCCCCAUAUGCGCGAGAACGACAUCUCGAUGCCGAGCCGCAACCUGCUCUGACUGAGCUAAAAUCAACCAAUCGUCGAUGUAGUUGAGAAUGCGGAUGCCCUGCAUGUGCAGGGGGACCAGAGCCGCAUCUACACAUUUUGUGAACGUGCGGGGUGAGAGUGCAAGGCCAAAAGGAAGUACUCGAUAUUGGUAAGCUUCGCCCCCGAAAGCAAACUUCAGAAACUUCCUGUGUUGUGGAAGGAUGGAUAUGUGGAAGUAUGCAUCUUUGAGAUCUAUUGUGACAAACCAGUCCUCGGACCUGAUCUGCGCUACAACAUGCUUGAUCGUGAGCAUCUUGAACUUCAGUCUCAUAACUGAUCGAUUUAAGACCCGCAGGUCUAUGAUCGGACGCAACCCCCCAUCCUUCUUUGGAACUAUGAAAUAACGGCUGUAAAAUCCGGAUUCCCUGUCUUGAGGAGGGACCACCUCGAUGGCCUCCUUCUCUAAUAGGGCUUUCACUUCUUGUUCCAUAACCAGACCCUGCUCGGGGCCGACUGUCGUCGGAGUAACCCCGUUGAACAUCGGCGGUGCAGAGCCGAACUGAAUACGGUAGCCUUUCUCUACCGUAUGCAGGACCCAUUGAGAUACAUUUGGCAGUAGUUUCCACGUUGGCAAAUAAUCUACUAAGGGAAUCAGUCUCUCGAGACUGACCUCUGGUGUAAGAGGCCCCCGCAGGGGUGGCGAGCGUCUCAGCCCCGCUACGCGCACGGGCGGAAGAUACUGAGAAUGAUGCUCGCUGGGGACCGCUGCGCCCUGGAACACUGGCAGGGUUGGCAGACCGGCCCCCAGAGGGCGCUGAGGCGAGACGGGCACCGUGUAAUGCGGUGUGCACCGCUCUACCCCAGCAGAGGCUGCCCUCUGACGCCCUGGCUCUCUGGCGUCAGGGCUUCUUGGCCGAGGCCUUCUUAGCAUCAAUAACUGCCCUCAAAUCUUGUUUGGGCCUCGAAGACCUCGGCCGAGAGCGUCGCUGAGGCUCCCGUUUGGU
ensembl:lncRNA